CUACGGGGUGCUGCAGUGGGGAAUAUUGGACAAUGGGCGAAAGCCUGAUCCAGCCAUGCCGCGUGAGUGAUGAAGGCCCUAGGGUUGUAAAGCUCUUUUGUGCGGGAAGAUAAUGACGGUACCGCAAGAAUAAGCCCCGGCUAACUUCGUGCCAGCAGCCGCGGUAAUACGAAGGGGGCUAGCGUUGCUCGGAAUCACUGGGCGUAAAGGGUGCGUAGGCGGGUCUUUAAGUCAGAGGUGAAAUCCUGGAGCUCAACUCCAGAACUGCCUUUGAUACUGAGGAUCUUGAGUUCGGGAGAGGUGAGUGGAACUGCGAGUGUAGAGGUGAAAUUCGUAGAUAUUCGCAAGAACACCAGUGGCGAAGGCGGCUCACUGGCCCGAUACUGACGCUGAGGCACGAAAGCGUGGGGAGCAAACAGGAUUAGAUACCCCGGUAGUC
rnacentral:rRNA from 1 species